AAGGGUAUCCCACACUGAAUACAUAGGUGUGUGGAAGCGAACCCGGUGAACUGAAACAUCUAAGUAGCCGGAGGAAAAGAAAUCAACCGAGAUUCCGAAAGUAGUGGCGAGCGAAAUCGGACAAGCCCAAACCAGCGUGCGUGCACUCUGGGGUUGUAGGACCUGCAUCAAGGGGAGAACGAUAGGAGAAGUGUCUGGGAAGGCACGCUAUAAAGGGUGAAAGCCCCGUAUCCGAAAUUGUUCAAACUGGGCGGGUAUCCUGAGUAAGACGGGGCACGUGAAACCCUGUCUGAAUCUGGGGGGACCACCCUCCAAGGCUAAAUACUCCUGACUGACCGAUAGUGGACGAGUACCGUGAGGGAAAGGUGAAAAGAACCCCGAUGAGGGGAGUGAAAUAGAACUUGAAACCGUGUGCUUACAGACAGUCAGAGGGCUAUUGUAAAGCCUGAUGGCGUACCUUUUGCAUUAUGAUUCAGCGAGUUAUGGUAUGUGGCGAGAUUAAGCCGUUGCAGGUGUAGUCGUAGGGAAACCGAGUCUGAAUAGGGCGUUAGUCGCAUGCUGUAGACCCGAAACGGGAUGAGCUAUCCAUGGGCAGGUUGAAGCGGGGGUAAAACCUCGUGGAGGACCGAACCGGUGACGGUUGAAAACGUCUCGGAUGACUUGUGGAUAGGGGUGAAAGGCCAAUCAAAUUCCGUGAUAGCUGGUUCUCUCCGAAAUGCAUUUAGGUGCAGCGUUUAGCGAUUACUGUCGGGGGUACAGCACUGACUAGGCUAGGGGCAUUACCGUGCUACCAAACCUUAUCAAACUCUGAAUACCGACAAGUACAGCUAUGCAGUGAGUCUAUGGAUGCUAAGGUCCGUGGACAAAAGGGAAAGAGCCCAGAUCAUCAGCUAAGGUCCCUAAAUUGACGCUAAGUGGAGAACGUUGUGGAACUACUGUGACAUCCAGGAGGUUGGCUUAGAAGCAGCCAUCCUUUAAAGAAAGCGUAAUAGCUCACUGGACUAGUGGUUCUGCGCGGAAAAUGUAACGGGGCUUAAGCGUCGUACCGAAGCUAUGAACUUUUUAAGUGGUAGGAGAGCAUUGUGCGUGCUGAUGAAGGCGUACCGUAAGGAGCGCUGGAGGUCCCACAAGAGCUGAUGCUGAAAUGAGUAGCGAUAAGGAGAGCGAGAAUCUCUCCCACCGUAAACACAAGGGUUCCUGGGCCAGGUGAAUCCUCCCAGGGUAAGCCGGAACCUAAGGCGAGGCCGAAAGGCGUAGUCGAUGGACAACAGGUUAAUAUUCCUGUGCUUGGUGUAAAACGUUCGACCGUACGGAAUGACGGAGAAAGGUAGUGGAUCGAGAGAUUGGUUGUUCUCGUGUAAGGGUGUAGGUGGGUCCGGUAGGUAAAUCCGCUGGGCUAUUAAACACUGAGACCUGAUGCCGAUGCGCAAGCAGAAGUCCAUGACCCUCAGCUUCCAAGAAAAGUUUCGUCGGGAGUUUUGCAUUAAUCCGUACCGCAAACCGACACAGGUGGAUGAGGAGAAAAUCCUAAGGCGCUUGGAAGAACUCUAGCUAAGGAACUCUGCAAAUUAGUACUGUAACUUCGGGAGAAGGUACGCCCUUGUACGUGAAGUCACUUGCUGACGUAGCGUUUGAGGGUCGCAGUGAAACGGGGGUAGCGACUGUUUAUCAAAAACACAGGUCUAUGCAAACACGCAAGUGGAAGUAUAUGGGCUGACGCCUGCCCGGUGCUGGAAGGUUAAAAGGUGAGGUUAGACGCAAGUCGAAGCUUUAAAUUGAAGCCCCAGUAAACGGCGGCCGUAACUAUAACGGUCCUAAGGUAGCGAAAUUCCUAGUCGGGUAAGUUCCGACCUGCACGAAUGGCGUAACGACUUCCCCACUGUCUCAGCUAGAGAUCCAGCGAAAUUGGUGAGCGCGUGAAGAAACGCGCUACCCGCGGAAGGACGAAAAGACCCCGUGAACCUUUACUGUAACUUGGCAUUGGGUUUCGGUUAACGAUGCGUAGGAUAGGUGGGAGCUUUUGAUCCGUGCGUUCCGGCGUACGGGGAGGCAACCUUGAAAUACCACCCUUCGUUGACUGGAAUCCUAACCUGCGAUCCUGAUCGGGUCGGGGGACAAUGUCUGGUGGGCAGUUUGACUGGGGCGGUCGCCUCCUAAAGAGUAACGGAGGCGCACAAAGGUUCCCUCAGGCUGAAUUGAAACCAGCCGUAGAGUGUAAACGCAUAAGGGAGCUUGACUGCGAGGCAAACACGCCGAGCAGGUGCGAAAGCAGGUGUUAGUGAUCCGGUGGUUCCGAGUGGAAGGGCCAUCGCUCAACGGAUAAAAGGUACUCCGGGGAUAACAGGCUGAUUUCCUCCAAGAGUUCACAUCGACGAGGAAGUUUGGCACCUCGAUGUCGGCUCAUCGCAUCCUGGGGCUGGAGCAGGUCCCAAGGGUUUGACUGUUCGUCAAUUAAAGCGGUACGCGAGCUGGGUUCAAAACGUCGUGAGACAGUUUGGUCUCUAUCCUCCGUGGGCGUAAGAGAUUUGAGAGGAGCUGACCUUAGUACGAGAGGACCGGGUUGGACGAACCUCUGGUGAACCGGUUGUGACGCCAGUUGCAUUGCCGGGUAGCUACGUUCGGAUCGGAUAACCACUGAAAGCAUCUAAGUGGGAAGCCGUCCUCAAGAUAAGAUUUCUAUUAAGGGUGCUUGUAGACUACGAGCUUGAUAGGUUGGGUGUGUAAGCGCUGUGAGGCGUUCAGCUGACCAAUACUAAUAACCCGUUUUGCUUUAUUUU
rnacentral:rRNA from 1 species